rnacentral:tRNA from 1 species
GUGGUUUGUGGUGCGUGUAGGUUAUGUUUUUAAAUCGUAAGGCUGUUAACCUUGAGAAGAUGUUUGUUCUGCGGACG